rnacentral:misc_RNA from 1 species
AGCAAUAAUUGUGUUUGCUCGCAAACGAAAAAAAAAAACCGACUUCAAUUACAUCGACGAGUAAUACAACGUAGGUCGACGAAAAAAGCGUCAAGUAAAAACGCAUUAUUAAAUAUAACUCGAAAAGUAGUUGUUAGAUCUCAAAUAAAUUUAAAUGGGACCAAUUGACACACACCACCUUUCGAUUAAAACAAAAUUUGUCGAGAUCGGUCUACCCGGUCAAAAGUUCUGAUGUAACAUACAUAAAA